rnacentral:rRNA from 1 species
GAUGAAUGCUGGCGGCGCGCCUAACACAUGCAAGUCGAGCGGUAACAUGGACUUCGGUCUGAUGACGAGCGGCGGACGGCUGAGUAACGCGUGGGAACAUGCCCCAAAGUGAGGAAUAACUGCCCGAAAGGGUGGCUAAUGCCGCAUAUGAUCUUCGGAUUAAAGGAUUUAUCCGCUUUGGGAGUGGCCUGCGUACGAUUAGGUAGUUGGUGAGGUAAUGGCUCACCAAGCCUACGAUCGUUAACUGGUCUGAGAGGAUGAUCAGUCAGACUGGAACUGAGACACGGUCCAGACUCCUACGGGAGGCAGCAGUGAGGAAUCUUCCACAAUGGGCGAAAGCCUGAUGGAGCGACGCCGCGUGCAGGAUGAAGGCCUUCGGGUUGUAAACUGCUCUUAUAAGUGAAGAAUAUGACGGUAACUUAUGAAUAAGCACCGGCUAACUACGUGCCAGCAGCCGCGGUA